rnacentral:lncRNA from 1 species
CCUUUCAACGUCCAUUCAUUAUCUUGCUGGGGGCCUGCUAGUUUAUUGACGUGCCCCACCAAGGCCCCCAGAAUGGUCACUCGGAACAGUUACACAUUCCCAUGACAGAACUUCUGGCUCUGGCCCUCUGGCGUUCUGAUUAAAGCCCUCUACCUUUGUUGCAGGAAGGCAUUGCCUGUCUAUAGACAUCAGAUGCUGUAGUGGGCUGACCCUUUCUCAGUUGGCUGGGUCGUGACUGGGCCACUGUUUCUAGUCAUUGGCAGCUUCUCACCACAUGCCCCUUCAACCCUCUUCUCUGUCUCGAGACUGAUCCCAUAAUCUCCCAGUCAAUGGUGGGUCAGCAUUCCAGCCCCCUGCUACCCAAGAAUUCCGUGGACUGGCCAUGCAUGAGAUUUAUCAGAGGGCCUAGCAGACUCAGCCUGGAUCCCCAACUGACAGCACUUGUUUCUGGAUUUCUUCCUUGCUUGCCCUAUUCCCCUACCCACCUCUCCUGGGCUUCCUGGAGGUUCCUUCAGAGUGAGUCCCUUGCACCAGUGUCCUUAUGUCGACAUCUAUUCCAUUAGUAGGGUCUCUCUAGAGGGACAGAACUAAUAGAGUGAAUAUGUAUUAAGCGGGGGGGGGUUUAUUAGAUUGGCUUCCAUGAUAUAGGAGACCUAUAGAUAUAGUAGUCAUCAUAUCAGAGAGACUGAGAACCGUGGCUGUUCUGUCUAUGAGGCUGGAUGCCCCAACAGUACCAACCUGGUACUGGAGGCCUGGCGGGUUCCUAGAGAGCCACUGGUUUACAGUGGGAGGCUAAGGAAGUGAAGUUCCCAUGUCGACCAAGGAUAGUGGUGGUGGUGGCGGCAGCAGCAACAGCAGCAGCAGGGUAGAUGCAUCCACAGUGAGGUCUUUCUUUCCACCGUGUGCGUCCCAGGGAUUGAAGCAUCAUCAGCCUUGACCACAGGCACUUUACACGCUGACCCAUCUCACUGGCCCCAAGAUUGAUUAAUUAUGAAAAAGAAACAAGGACUGGAGAGAAGGCUCAGUGGUUAAGAGCACUGACUGCUCUUCCCGAGGUCCUGAGUUCCAUUCCCAGCAACCACAUGGUGGCUCCCAACCGUCUGUAGUGAGAUCUGAUGCCCUCUCCUGGUGUGUCUGAAGACAGCCACAGUGUACUCAUACAUAAAACAAAUUAAUCUUUAAAAGAAAAAGGGAAAGGAGCAAAUACAAUUGUACUCAAAUCGCUAACAGAUGCAGCCUUAUUUGUACCUCAAAGAAUUCUAAGAAAUGUGUUGAUGAUUC